rnacentral:rRNA from 1 species
UACGUAGGGCGCAAGCGUUGUCCGGAAUUAUUGGGCGUAAAGAGCUCGUAGGCGGCUUGUCACGUCGGGUGUGAAAGCCCGGGGCUUAACCCCGGGUCUGCAUUCGAUACGGGCUAGCUAGAGUGUGGUAGGGGAGAUCGGAAUUCCUGGUGUAGCGGUGAAAUGCGCAGAUAUCAGGAGGAACACCGGUGGCGAAGGCGGAUCUCUGGGCCAUUACUGACGCUGAGGAACGAAAGCGUGGGGAGCGAACAGG